AAGACUAUAGACCUGCGGAGUACCUGCGGAGGGAUCAUUAAAGAAAAAACUGCCCUUUGGGUAGAUCUCCCACCCUUUGUUUAUAUUACCUUUGUUGCUUUGGCAGGCCCGUCUCUGACCACCGGCUCUUUGGCUGGUCUGUGCCUGCCAAGAGACCUCCAACUCUUGAUUUGAAGUUGUCCAAGUCUUAUAUAAUAGUAAAAACUUUCAACAAUGGAUCUCUAGAUCGGAAGAGCACAC
rnacentral:misc_RNA from 1 species